rnacentral:snRNA from 1 species
GGAUGUGAGGGCGAUCUGGCUGUGACAUCUGUCACCCCAUUGAUCGCCAGGGUUGAUUCGGCUGAUCUGGCUGGCUAGGCGGGUGUCCCCUUCCUCCCUCAACGAUCCAUGCGCAUCCCUCCCGAAGCUGCGCGCUCGGUCGAAGAGGAUGACCACCCCUGAUAGAGGAGGACCGUUCCUCGGUCAAGGAUAUAAUUUCACUUUAUCUAUUAUCUUUAUUUUGAUCACCAAAUAAAAAUAAUGGUAAUAUAUGUAUAUAUGGAUUAAUUACUAU